rnacentral:sRNA from 1 species
AGUAGUCUGAAGGAUCGAGAGAUGAAGGACGAGGCGUAGGAUAGGAUUUUAGUGAAGGGAGCAACAUUAUUGCGGGAGGAUAAUAAACCACAAGGGAUAUAGAAGAAUAUCCUGGUUCUCGAAACGGCAGUAGAGAAGAUAGUGUCUGCAAGCACAGCAGGGGCGUCGUGAACGAAAGGGAUUAAUUAAUAUUAAUUCUGGAUCGGCUCGCUGUAAUUCCCAGUACACAGGGCGCAGAUGGGCCUUGAAAGAGGAAAUGUGUACCU